rfam:Finegoldia magna ATCC 53516 Contig54, whole genome shotgun sequence.
UACAGAGUAGGGUUGAUGCGUUUAGUGUAAUGGGAUAGGGAGUUGCCCAUUAACGAAAUUAUUGCGAUAUCAAUGCCGCUUCCGCUGAUA